rnacentral:piRNA from 1 species
GGGCUGGAGAGAUGGCUCAGCC